AAUUGUUGCUGGCCUGUUAAAAGGGUAUUGUGCACGUUCAAUAUGCUGCGUUCUACACUCUUUUCCACCUGUGCAUGUUUGUAGGCUUGGGUUGUUAGCAUAUUUAGUUAACAAGUUGAGUCUAUGUCUAUAUAAUCUCAUUGUAUGUCUUGAAUGUCUUUGGUUUAUGGGACGCAAGUCCUUUAAAAAUUGAAACAACUUUCAACAACGGAUCUCUUGGCUCUCGCAUCGAUGAAGAACGCAGCGAAAUGCGAUAACUAAUGUGAAUUGCAGAAUUCAGUGAAUCAUCGAGUCUUUGAACGCACCUUGCACCCUUUGGUAUUCCUCAGGGUAUGCCUGUUUGAGUGUCAUUAAAUUCUCAACCUCGCAUUCUUAUUGAAUGAGUGGAUUGGACAUUGGGGGUUUGCUGGUGUGUUAUCAGCUCCUCUGAAAUGGAUUAGCUAGCAAAGUUUAGGUGGUAAGGCUGUGAUAAUAUCUAAGCCCGAGUUGUCUUUAUGUGUUAGCUUCUAAGAGUCCUGUAGGACAUUUAUUGAGUAUUUGACCUCAAAUCAGGUAAGGCUACCCGCUGAACUU
rnacentral:rRNA from 1 species